rnacentral:rRNA from 1 species
AACGCUAGCGGCAGGCUUAACACAUGCAAGUCGAGGGGCAGCGGGGGAUAGUGCUUGCACUAUUCUGCCGGCGACCGGCGCACGGGUGAGUAACACGUAUGCAACCUGCCCUCUUCAGGGGGACAACCUUCCGAAAGGGAGGCUAAUCCCGCGUAUAUCCCUUAGGGGCAUCCAUAAGGGAGGAAAGAUUCAUCGGAAGAGGAUGGGCAUGCGGCGCAUUAGCCAGACGGCGGGGUAACGGCCCACCGUAGCGACGAUGCGUAGGGGUUCUGAGAGGAAGGUCCCCCACAUUGGUACUGAGACACGGACCAAACUCCUACGGGAGGCAGCAGUGAGGAAUAUUGGUCAAUGGGAGCGAUCCUGAACCAGCCAAGCCGCGUGAGGGAAGACGGCCCUAUGGGUUGUAAACCUCUUUUGUCGGAGAACAACAGCCGGUACGCGUAUCGGUUUGAGUGUAUCCGAAGAAAAAGCAUCGGCUAACUCCGUGCCAGCAGCCGCGGUAAUACGGAGGAUGCGAGCGUUAUCCGGAUUUAUUGGGUUUAAAGGGUGCGUAGGCGGAUAGUUAAGUCAGCGGUAAAAUUUCGGGGCUCAACCCCGUAAAGCCGUUGAAACUGGCAGUCUUGAGUUGGCGAGAAGUACGCGGAAUGCGCGGUGUAGCGGUGAAAUGCAUAGAUAUCGCGCAGAACUCCGAUUGCGAAGGCAGCGUACCGGCGCCACACUGACGCUGAGGCACGAAAGCGUGGGGAUCGAACAGGAUUAGAUACCCUGGUAGUCCACGCAGUAAACGAUGAAUGCUGGUUGUCCGGGCAGAUUGAUGUCUGGGCGGCGAAGUGAAAGCGAUAAGCAUUCCACCUGGGGAGUACGCCGGCAACGGUGCAACUCAAAUGAAUUGACGGA